CCGCCAUUCGGACAGCCCCGGCCACGCCCCUGGGCCGCUAGCCCGCAGCCAAUGAGCAACUAGAGCCCGGUUGGGAGCUGCGCCGGCCAAUCAGAGACGCCGAGGACGCCUUGAAUCUCCGGGCAAGUUAAGUUUAUCUCCGAGGCUUGGAACUGAAGAGAGAUGGCGGGUUAGUUAGGUAGUGGGGUGGGUGGGAAUACAGCUUGUGCGGUCCGCCAAUAGGAGGAAGAGGGUGUGUCGGAUGCAAAUUAUCCCUGGAGGCCCAGCCCCUCCCCCGAAGACUGGCCACGCCCCCUUCUCUAGGUCCCUGCAAAAAUGGUAAGGAGAGUGAGAUAAAUAGCUGAGAGCUAGAGCCUCACUAGAGGGUCUAAAACUGAGCUAAAUAUUUCCUGGUUUCUUGAGAGAUGUUGGGGACGGGACAGGGGCGGUCGCUAAAACGUUCACAUUGUCAGGACAGUUAGUAGGCUUUCUCCCAGCCAAAAUCUUAGCUUAGCUGUGAAGAAGACUGCAGUCACGUAGCACUUGGCACCCAGGGAUCUCAAAGAACUUUAUGCAUCAUUUAUCUUGAGCCUUGUUUUGCAAAAGACCAACUACCUAAGGCUUGGGCUGGGGGUAGAGGUAGAUGUUUGAGCUAGAUUUACACCAUUAAUCGAGGUAGGGGGAGAAAGACACAAAGCCUCCGGUUUAGCGGUUUCCUCCUCCCUCUGAAGCACCUUCUCGCAGUCCUCUCAGCAAUGAAAGUUCCUUUAUUCGUCCAGCACGAAAAGGCCAAAGAAACAGGGUUAUCCUUUCACCUAACAGCCCUUUCUGGGGCAGUUGAUCAGAAACAUGCAGAGCAUAGAGCCUUGGCUUGGAAGGAAGGUUUGGAAGGAAGAACAAAUCGUCUGUAAACUAUUGGGCUGGACUUGCCUCUUCCAAAGCUAAAAAUGGUGAGUCAGGAUUUUGGCGUCCACGCUCUAGGGAGAGAAGCCACAUGUAAAUGGGGAAAGCUCUGGCUGGCAGAGCGAGGGGGAACAGGCGAAGGGGGAGCCAGGUCUCUUGAGGAGGCCAGCAACGCGCGUGCGGGUCGAAUGCGGGUUCCCGACGCAAGACGCCCGGAAACCUGCUCCCCAGUGAGAACAAAGGCAGGCGCCAAGCGAGAACCUGAUUGGUGCCGGGUCCUCACCGGUGUCCUCUGGGCCCCGGAGACAACUUGCUUCACCCACUGGCGCGGAGCUCCGUGCUCACUGGAGCCCAGGCUCCCCACCCGGCCUUGGCCGUGACCACACAGGACUGUGCGUUAUGACAUCACCUGUUUUCGCUCUUUAGAACAUGAUCUGUAGUCUCAGCUUCUCCUUUUUUAGAGGUCUCUAGUGUACCGGGAUUUGGGAAGGCCUGCAGUCCGCAGAAUGAAUCUGGAGAUGAUGUAAAAGAACGGUUUCACUGGUUUGCAUUUCUUUCUUUUCUUCCUUUUCUUUUUAAUUAAAAAACACACGGACACACACACACACACACACACACACACAGCCUGGUUUCCUUAGGGAUUCAGAGUGGUGUUGUAAUGCAAAAUCAGAAAGGUACACUUGGAGGAGCUAGCAAGUUUAGCAUAUCAAAGCUAUUAGACCAAAUUGUGUGGUUAAAACUGUCAAUCUUAUUUUUUCAACAGCUGCCUCCUCUGCCCCUUUUAGAGACCAACACACAUAAACCAAGUCUACACAAGGAACAAAGGAAGUGGAAAUCUGCCAGUGUCAGGUUGAAAUACAUUAAAAUUGACUGGAAAACCCCUGAAGGGCCUGAGUUAUGCGGUUGGGUAAAUGUGUUGAUCCACUUAACUAGUAAUAGCUAAAGGUCACUUGAUGCUGUUGUAGACAUGUAUAGCCUAGAAUAGCAAUGGUGUGGGGAAGGUGCUUGACAAUCAGAAAAAACUGUAAAAGCAAGAACAUUAAGGAGAGAAAUUACCAUAGGCUCGUCAAUGCAGAGAACCAAGAAAUCCAGGGAGAAAGUUAGCAAGGCACAGUUUUCCUAGGAACUGAAACACAUAUGUGUCCCUGUUUAGUGGUAAAUUUCUUGGGCUAUAUUCCUGGCUGGUUCUCCCUUGUAAAGCAGAUUUUAUGUGAAUGCAUUUUAAAGGAUAGGAGAUAUUGAAGGCUGAAGUGAAUUUUUGUGGAGAGAUUGAAUUUUUCUCAAAUAGUACUUUAGAUUCAAAUUGUUUUCCAUCGUAUUCUUAUAACCGUUCCUUUUACUUAGUAGUUAAAAUCCUUUCACAAUGGUUCUUUAAGCUCCUCAGUAACUAAAUUCCCCAGAAAAGAUGGCCAAGAGAGUGGAGCCUACACAAUUACACCCUCUGACAAAGAUUGCUAAAGGGAGGUUUUAAAGGAAUAGCUUGACCGAUACAUAGAUUCAUGUAUGUGACCAAAUAAUGGUGGUCUCCACCAAACUCCUCCAAACUUUUAUAACAUUAAUUGUCCAUAGGGCCAUUUAUUUGGCAUUUAACCAUGUACUGCAUUGGGACAUUUCUUACAUGGAACC
rnacentral:lncRNA from 1 species